CCUUGGUCCCCAUAGAAACUAAAGUUGCAAAUGGUUACAAAAAAGGAUGACAUCAUGCAGUUCUACAAGACACGGCCAAAUAUCAGUACAAAGCUAACUGGGACCCUUGGUGACCCAAGGUAACUCGGGGUGACAUUUCAUUUUGCUGGAAGAAGAAUAUGUGUUUAACAUGUAUGAUAGUUCUGAACGAAGAUUGAAGCUGUUCUGUAGUUCUGAGGGUUAUCAUACCACUGAGAGUAAAAGCAGGAGUCCACUGGGCAUGGUGUCAUGUGCCUAUAAUCCCAGCUACUCAGGAGGCUGAGGCAGGAGGAUUGCUUGAGACCAGGAGUUUGAGGCCAGCCUGCACAACAUAGCAAGACCCCGUCUCAACAACAACAACAACAACAACAACAACAACAACAACA
rnacentral:lncRNA from 1 species